rfam:Triticum aestivum genome assembly, contig: Triticum_aestivum_CS42_TGACv1_scaffold_433501_5DL
UAUAUACUCCCUCCGUCCGGAAAUACUUGUCGGAGAGAUGGAUGUAUCUAGACGUAUUUUUAUUCUAGAUGCAUCCAUUUUCAUCCAUUCCUACGACAAGUAUUUCCGGACGGAGGGAGUAGCAA